UUUCCGUAGGUGAACCUGCGGAAGGAUCAUUAUAGUAUAACUGAGGUGCGAGGGUUGUCGAUGAUCCGAAUGGUCGUGAACGCACGAGUGCUUUAACAUACAUGCAUGCUACACCGAUGUGAACCUAGGCGGGGGGCCUGUUUAGGCAUGUUUGGUCGGGGGUAUACGUUUUCACCUAUUAUUUGUUAGCAUUGUAGUUUGUAUUUAAUGUUUUUACGUACACGUAAUAAAUAUAAAUAUCAACAACGAACCACUUGGCUCUUGGAUCGAUGAAGAACG
rnacentral:misc_RNA from 1 species